rnacentral:rRNA from 1 species
CCUACUCUGGUUGAUCCUGCCAGUGAUCAUAUGCUUGUCUCAAAGAUUAAGCCCAUGCAGUGUCAGUGCAAACCGAACUAAGGCAAAACCGCGAACGGCUCAUUAAAUCGGUCAUGGUUCACGAGCUGAUCCUCUGCAGUCGGACAACUGUGGCAAUUCCAGAGCUAAUACGUGCACACGAACUCCUUCCGUUCCGAACGCCUCUAGGGCGGAGGGAUUGCUCUUAUCUGUUCCGAACCCCGUCGCGCCCGCCUCCCCCUCACGGGUGCGGGGCGGCCGGCGAGUCCCUCGGUGAACUCUGGAUAAACGCCCUUUUGCUGAGCGCGCGGACGCUUCCCCCGCGAGGGGGUGCCCCGGCGCCGCAUCUCUCAAAUGUCUGACCCAUCACGAUAUAGUUGGUGCGGUAGCGGCGUACCAAGUCUUUGACGGGUAACGGGGAAUCAGAGUUUGAUUCCGGAGAGGAUGCUCGAGAGACGGCAACCACAUCCAAGGAAGGCAGCAGGCGCGCAACUUACCCAAUGCCGGCACGGCGAGGUAGUGACGAAAAAUAGCGGUGCGGGUCUCUUCGGAGGCCCCGCGAUCGCAAUGAGUGGAAUUUGAACGCAUUCACGAUGAGCGAUUGGAGGGCAAGUCUGGUGCC